rnacentral:rRNA from 1 species
UACGGAGGAGGCAAGCGUUAUCCGGAAUCAUUGGGCGUAAAGCGUCCGCAGGUGGCAGUUCAAGUCUGCUGUCAAAGACUGGGGCUUAACCCUAGAAAGGCAGUGGAAACUGAACAGCUAGAGUGCGGUAGGGGUAGAGGGAAUUCCCGGUGUAGCGGUGAAAUGCGUAGAGAUCGGGAAGAACACCAGUGGCGAAAGCGCUCUGCUGGACCUGCACUGACACUGAGGGACGAAAGCUAGGGGAGCGAAUGGG